GAUCCUGGCUCAGGAUGAACGCUAGCGGCAGGCUUAAUACAUGCAAGUCGUGGGGCAGCGCAGUGUAGCAAUACAUGGGCGGCGACCGGCAAACGGGUGCGGAACACGUACACAACCUUCCUACAAGUGGGGAAUAGCCCAGAGAAAUUUGGAUUAAUACCCCGUAACAUAUAAAGAUGGCAUCAUUUUUAUAUUAUAGCUACGGCGCUUGUUGAUGGGUGUGCGGCUGAUUAGGUAGUUGGG
rnacentral:rRNA from 1 species